GAGUUUGAUCUUGGCUCAGGAUGAACGUUAGCGGCGUGCCUAACACAUGCAAGUCGAACGAACAGCCAGAAUCUUAGGAAUCUGGCGGGUUAGUGGCGCACGGGUGAGUAACACGUAGGUGACCUGCCCCGAAGUGGGGGACAACCACUGGAAACAGUGGCUAAUACCGCAUGUGCUUAGCCAUUCGGUUGGUUAAGUAAAGCUGAGGCGCUUCGGGAGGGCCUGCGGUCGAUUAGCUAGUUGGUGAGGUAAUGGCUCACCAAGGCGAUGAUCGAUAGGGGGCGUGAGAGCGUGA
rnacentral:rRNA from 1 species